rnacentral:rRNA from 1 species
AUGGCAUUCCUAAGGUCAAAGUGCAUCCACGACAGCUUUCUCUUUGUUCAGAACUCCGUCCGUGCCCUUCACCGUCGCAAAACGCUGGGCCUGCUAGUAAAAUUAGACAUAGCAAAGGCAUUCGACACCGUCUCCUGGGAUUACCUGCUGGAACUACUCCAACAGCUAGGGUUUAGUGCGCGCUGGCGGGACUGGGUGGCUCGGCUACUCGUCGCGGCUUCUUCGGCGGUCUCUCUCAAUGGUUCUGUCGGCCCAAGCAUCCUCCAUCACCGUGGGUUGCGCCAGGGAGACCCGCUCUCC